ensembl:lincRNA
CUUUUACAUAAAUGAAAUAUUUUAGACAUUUUCAAGUACUUUUUCCUUCUUUCUCUCUUCUGGAAGAAAACUGAUGAAAUAGCCUUUUUUAAAAACAGGAAAUAGGAUUGUUUGGUUGAGACAUUUUUCGCCCUAAAGGGUAUUAUAAUGAAUUCUAACUAGCAGGAUCAAUUUUAUGCCUCUUAUAUUACACAGGUGAGUACAUACAUAAAGAGAGGACAGGCUUUUCUCACCCAAAUAUCUCAGUCAUUAAGUGCAAAUGCUGGUACUCUGAAAUGGAAAUAAUUCGUUUGAGGGGAAAAGGAAGGGAGUUGAAGAGAAUGGUAAUUUUGGAAAAUGAUCUUAUUCGGUGGUGUGUGAAAAAGACUUUCCCUGUGUUUACUCGCUUCCGAAUUUAAUCCACACCGGCAGCCCUUGAAGACCUUAGAUGGUUCUCACUGGAAACAGCUUAUGUGUUUUUGCAUAUCAGACCCACAGUGAGUCGUGUAAUCCUCUCGGGGAGUCUGUGGUGAGAAAAGAGGCAGCCAUGACACCGGAUGUGGUGGGUCUCGCGGGAACCGCCGAGAUCCCCAUUUGGGACUGAGGUUCACAGCUCCAGCUGCGGUUGCUGGCUGACUGUCGGUCGUGUUCCUCUAUGGUAUCUGACUUCACCCCAGGAAAACCAUCUCUAUCUCCCCCAGAGUCACAACUCCUCCCACAGGAUAACGCUCUUCCAGUGCCUGCUCCUGCUUAGGCUCUAUGGAAUUCCCCAAGGUAAUGAUGGAUGAACAUGACAGGGAGAAUGGAUAAUGUUCAUCUUCCUCUAUCUACAUCUGACUGUGACUGAUGGCAAGACACACGUUGCUGAAGAUUUGGUGACGUGAAGGUGGGAAUAGCUUGACCUCUAUUAGUUAGUGAUAAUAGGAGAUGGCCUGAAAUCUGUUCGAGUGUGUCCAGGAACUACACUAAGUUAAGUCAUCUCUUGCUCUGAACAACUGUCUAAGGACAGUCAAUAUCUCUUAAGAAGUAAAUCAAACACCGCCUUUGUGUUGAAUCCUGCAAACAUAAAAUAUUAAUUUUUUAAAUAAGAGUGAAAUAGAUUUAGGAUGCCAUUGUUCUUUUAAGUAAAACUUUCUGCUUCUCUCCAUGCCAAGAAUACUUAAUAAUAAUUUAACCUUGCUCAGUAGAUUACUUGAAAAAUUAUUCCUCUUUCUUCAUGGGCAUGCUUGUCUCACUGACUUUGUCUCAGGUCAUAGAUCUGGGUAACUCAAAAGUUAUUUUGUGAGUUCUCCUGGGUUCUUAAACUAAAAAUGUAUUUUUAAGUCCCACUCUGAAAGAAUAAGUGAGAAUGAUUUUGUGGUAUGAGGGGUGGGGUAUUUUUAUUAGGGAUAUUCUUAAGGAUUUUUAACAUUACAGAGAGACAGUUUGGUUACCGAAUAGUUUUUCAAAAUUAAAAUAUUAACGUCUUGCUUUAUUUGCUUCAAAGAAUUUUUUAAAGUAAUGAAACAUUUCCAGUUUUGCUGAAACCUUACCAGGAACUACUCUCUUCCUUGCCUCCUCCAAGAUAGCUACUCUUCUGAAUUUUCUUUUCUUUUUACCUACUAAUAAUAGAUGCUCCUAUUUUGCAUUCUUAGAAACUUAGUAUCAAUGACACAUUUUCUUACCAAUGAGCAAUACUGCUGAGAGCCCAGGUUUUGGAUUCAGGCUGCCACCUGCAAUCGAUGUGACAUCAUAUAUGUUGCUUAAUUUUUGUACCAACAUUACCUCAUUUUUAAAUACAGAUCUAAUCUCAUUUCCUACCUCAUGGAGUUACUUGAAGAAUAAAUGAGGAAAUACACAUAAGGCACCUAAAACAUUACCUAGCAUACAUUAACAUUAAAUAAGGUUUCACUUUCUCAAGUAGCCCAUUAUGUAGUGUGUGUGUGUGUGUGUAUGUUUGUGUGUGUGUAUGUCUGUGUUUGUGUGCUCAGUUGCUCAGUCAUGUCCAACUCUCUGCCAACCCCUGCAUUGUAGCCCACCAGGCACCUCUGUAAAUGGAAUUAUAUGGCAAAGAUCAACAUUUUUUCUCCAUAUUUACUCACUUUAGCUUAAUCAUUUUUAAGUUCAUUUUAAGUCUAUUAUUUGACUGUACUGCCGUUUAUCCAUUCUCUUAUUGAAGGACAGUUACAACAAAGUACCAAUUUAUAUGAUUACAAACAAUAAUUUUUGGUUCAUGUUUCUGUGUAUAUAUGCAUAUGAGUUUCUCCAGGGUUUAUUCUUAGGUAGAACUGUUAACCCUUUAUUUUUGCCAGCUAGUGUCAAAAAGCUUACUAGCUAGUGCCUUUAAGUCAGGAUCUGCUAGCAUACUUUUAAAGUCACCAGGAAGACUUUUUAGAACUCUGGGUCUCCACACCCAGAAUUUCUAAUUCAGUAGGUCUAUGAUGAGGCCUGAAAAUUGGCCUUUCUAACAGUUGUCCAGGUAUUGCUGAUUCUGCUGGUCUGGAGACUCCAUUUUGAGAACGCAUGCUCUAAAAGGUUGUUUAAACUUAGUCCUCUGUCAGGGUUUUUAUGAUUUUCUUCAUCCUCACAACACUUGAAAGUGAAAGUCACUAAGUAGUGUCCGACUCUCUGCGACCCCGUGGACUGUAGCCUGCCGGGCUCCUCUGUCCAUGGAAUUCUCCAGACAAGAGUACUGGAGUGGGCAGCUGUUCCCUUCUCCAGGGGAUCUUCCCAACCUAGGGAUCGAACCCAGGUCUUCUGGGGACCACAUUUUGAGAACCAGUGCUCUAAAUGAUUGCUUAAAUUUAGUCCUCUGUCAGUAAUUUUAUGAUUCUCUUUAUCCUCACAACAACUUGGGCCUGUCAUAUUUUUCAAUGUCAUAGGAGUUAAAUGGCAUCUCUGUGGUUGUAGUUUGGUUUACUCUGAUUAUUCAGGAGAUGGAGACUUCUUUUAUUUGAUCAGUGGUCAUUCAUAGUACACUACCUAUGAGCUGCCACUAAGCAGUACAAUGUAGACUGGAAGUGAGCCCACUGAGUAUCUUUUCCAUCACCUACGGUCCUAGUUCACGCAGUAAUAAAAGGGAAAAAGGACAUAAAAGAUAUAAUAAUUACAAGGGAGCUAAAUCAACAAUCAAAGAAUCAACAAACAAAGAGAAUUUAGCAAGGUUACUAAAGAAAAGAUCUCUAUAUAAAAAUCAGCAGGGUUUGUAUAUGCUAUGAAAUAAUUAGAAAAUACAAAGAAAUGUAAGAUUCCCUAAAGAGCAGCGAAAACUAUAAGGUAGUAAAGCUCAUAAAAGAUAUGAAAAUUCCUUACAGAAAAAGAUUAUAAAGUUUAACCAUUAAGUAUAUUUUCAAUCAGAUUUUAAUAAACAAAGAUCCAUUUUAAAGACUGUGGUCAUAUACUCAUUUAUUAAGAUUUUCAUAAAUUUCAUAAGAUUUUCUCCAGAAAAUCAUUACUGCUAAUAUUUUACAUUUUCUGAUGUGAAACUGUCUUCACAUAUUUUCUACUUAGUAAUUCAAACAUUUUCAUUAAGGUCACCAGAAGUUUUCCUGAGACCUCUGCCUCCUGGAAGAUCUACUUGUUAAUACCUGGGCCAAAGAAAAAAUUCAUAGCUAUGGGUAGAGGAGUGCUCUAAAUGGGUAUACAUUUUAACUAACUUAACAAUGUAUCACUGCAUAAUACUAAUAUAACACAGUUUCAAAUUGUUAAUAAAAUUACUUUCAUACAUUCAGAUAACCCUCAGUUUCUUGGUGAUUAGAAAAGCCAGAGGAACCAGAGAU